rnacentral:rRNA from 1 species
AGGCAGCAGUGGGGAAUUUUGGACAAUGGACGCAAGUCUGAUCCAGCGACGCCGCGUGCGGGAAGAAGGCCUUCGGGUUGUAAAGUCCUUUUGUCAGGGAAGAAAUCCNUUGGGAUAAUACCUCGGGGGGAUGACGGUACCUGAAGAAUAAGCACCGGCUAACUACGUGCCAGCAG